rnacentral:rRNA from 1 species
UACGAAGGGGGCUAGCGUUGCUCGGAAUCACUGGGCGUAAAGGGCGCGCAGGCGGCUCUGAAAGUCAGAUGUGAAAGCCCCGGGCUUAACCUGGGAAUUGCAUUUGAUACUCUGGAGCUUGAGUGUGGGAGAGGAGAGUGGAAUUCCCAGUGUAGAGGUGAAAUUCGUAGAUAUUGGGAAGAACACCGGUGGCGAAGGCGGCUCUCUGGACCACAACUGACGCUGAGGCGCGAAAGCGUGGGGAGCGAACAGG